CUCCCCACUGAGCUGACUCCCCACUGAGCAGGGAGCCUGACAUGGGGCUCGAUCCCAGGACCCUGGGAUCAUGACCCAAGCCAAAGGCAGCUGCUUAACCAACUGACCAAGAACGACUUGUGCGCUUGACUCGCUCUUUGAAUCCUGUCUGACUGGGUUCUCUUUCAUCACAGAUCCUCUAACAGGGUUCUGCUCAGAGCGCUCUCACUCACCUGGCUUUCCUUUUCCCUCUACACAUUCCCCCAUGAGUUAGCUCAUCGGCACCCUGGGUAAGGGAACUGCCACUUGUAACUCGUGGCUCUAACACCCUUGUCUCUCGUCCACUGUCUCUUCUGGCUGCCAGACGCAUACCAUUCUUGUUAGCUGCCAGUUGGGAAUUUCCACCGCGAUGGUCCACAGUCACUUCAACUCAGCAUGUCCAUAAUGAAACGAAUUUUACCUCCCCACCCCCAGUCUCCAUCUUGAACUCCCUCCAUUCCUAUUUCUUGGAAAAGAAUACCAUGAAAUGGUUCUUCUCUAUUCAAAAUCCCUCAUAUCAGAAACCUGGGCAUCCUGCUGGACUCCUCUUUGACCCACCCUCUGUCCCACGUGCAUCUGAUAAUCAUUAAGGCCUAUCUGUUUGGCUUUCUAACGAUCUCCUGAAUCUAGUUCAUCCUCAUUAUUCCACACCUUACCCCUGCAAAGCCUUAUCCACCUUACUUCAGUCUUCCCAUGUUUUAUUCCAUCAUGCAGAGUGGAGACAGUGAAUUCAAAGCCAAUCAGAUCCUGUCACUCCCCUACCUUAAAUCAAUCAGUGGCUUCCUUGGCUUACAGAUCCAAUUCCAGAUUCUCUAGAGCACUGGGCCCCACCUUAUUGCUUAAUUCUUACCAGUUUCACUCCUCCCCACUUCAUAAGCUUACAUGAUAUUUCGUGACUAUGCCACUCUCUUUUUUUUGCUCUUUGUCCUUUUGCACACAGUCCCCUCUGAGAAAGGGGGGAUGUCCCCCCAUCUCCUUGAUGAAUUUCUAUUAAUACUGCAGGCAUCUCUGGGCAUUACCUACUUGGAUAAGUCUUUUCUCAAUUUCCCUAGCACUCCGAGGCCGUGGAGGCCAAGCUGUUUUCCUGUAGGUGGACUUAAUUUAUUAUUUUUUGAGUGUUUGGGAGAAUAUCAGAAAGACAGUCGUGACCUCUUCUCUCCAGGGAUCCCCUGCCCUCUAGGGGUGGAUGAGUCCUCUGGAGCGCCGGACACUGGCCAAGCUUUGGCAGGUGGAGGUCUCUGGCAGCUGUGCGAGGAGUUGGCUGAGCAAGCCCUUGGCUCUGAAACUUGCCCUGCCCCAAGAUGAAUCCCAGGAUACACUUUUCUUGCUCCUCCAAAGUGUAUGUGGUACUUUGGCACAUGUUGAAUGAUCAUCUUGUCCCUGCAUCUGACACUUUCCCAGCCUCCGCUUCGGAUCAGGAACCAUGGCCUUGUAAACUCCUUGGGUGAGGUAGAGCCACUGGAGCUCAGCUGAUAGGAUCAUGAGACUGGGGACGUAGGACCCACUCCAAUUUCUGUGCAGUCCAGUCCACCUGUCCCAUGGGGAGAGCCAACGACCUAAAUCCAGGCAACCGCCUCAGAGAUACAGGCUCUCCUCCAUCCCCGAGAGAGGGUAUGUGAGUAAGCAGUGAUCCGUCGGCAGUGCUGGAAGCAACAGCAGAUGAAAUAAGCCAGAAUGAAGAACUACCAGCUGUUUGCGACAUCUGCUUUCGCUGCAUUUUUGUUUUCCCUCGUUCUCCUGUGCGUCUCCUCUCUCGUUGCAUGCUGUCUCCACCAACAGAGAGCCACGGGCACAAUCCCACGUACCAGCAGGAGAGAGCCUCCCCGACAAGGCCCUGAAUUUGAAGACAAGGAAAAGAGCCUUGACUCCCCAAAUGUCCUUUUCUCUAGGUGGCUAAAAGUGGACUAUAAAAAAACUAUAUAAAACUAGUUUUAUAGUUAGAGCUUCAUUCCUUUGGCAUGUUCCUCCGUAACCCCCUU